rnacentral:rRNA from 1 species
CACCGCUAUUGGGGUUCGAUUAAGACAUGCGAGUCGUGAGGGUUCGGCCCUCGGCGGACUGCUCAGUAACACGUGGAUAACCUGCCCUCAGGUGGGGGAUAAUCUCGGGAAACUGAGGAUAAUACCCCAUAGGCCAUUGAUGCUGGAAUGCUCUCUGGCCGAAAGCUCCGGCGCCUGAGGAUGGGUCUGCGGCCUAUCAGGUAGUAGUUGGGGUAACGGCCCAACUAGCCUGCGACGGGUACGGGCCUUGAGAGAGGGAGCCCGGAGAUGGACUCUGAGACACUAGUCCAGGCCCUACGGGGCGCAGCAGUCGCGAAAACUUCACACUGCGGGAACCCGUGAUGAGGGAACCCCAAGUGCCUGGGCAUUAGCUCAGGCUGUUCACCUGUCUAAAAAACAGGUGGAGUAAGGGCUGGGUAAGACCGGUGCCAGCCGCCGCGGUAAUACCGGCAGCCCAAGUGGUGACCAUUUUUAUUGAGCCUAAAACGUCCGUAGCCGGUCCGGCAAAUCCCUGGGCAAAUCGGGCAGCUCAACUGUUCGACUUCCAGGGAGACUACCGGACUAGGGACCGGG